GGCCUUGAUCUCUUGACCUUGUGAUCCCCCCACCUCGGCCUCCCAAAGUGCUGGGAUUACAGGCAUGAGCACCCGGCUGCCAUGCUUCUUCUAUAGCCUGCAGAACUAUGAGACAAAUAAAUCUCUCUCCCUUUUUAAAAAUAAAUUACCCAGCCUUGCGUAUGUCUUUAUGCAAUUACAAAUGGACUAGCAUAGGCAUGGAAGCAAUUGAAGAAAACAAGGUCAAGAGAGUGGCCUGGAGCAGGAUGUAAAAGCCAGCCUGAAGAAAGACAGUGAAGAGCCUUUAUUGAUUAACCAGAAGUUUUGAAAAAUAACUUGGGCAGGAGGGACAGGAAAGAUUGGAAGGAGAAAGAUUAAGACAGUGAUUCUCAACAGGAAUGGAAAAAUCUAUAAGAAUAACCUGAAAAACUUUUGCAAAAUACACAAGCCUGUUUUUUCCUGCACUCUUCUGUCUUCUCCUUCAACCACACUUCUGAUGUGAUAAUAUGGGAAGGUAAGCAUUUUGAAAAAUGCUUGCUAGGUGAUACUGACAAAUCCUUCCCUCUACCAUUGCUUGAAUUUAGCCAAGAGGUACUUAAGUAAGGCUGUGACAAUGGAGAUGAUAAAGAAUGGAUUUGAGAGACACAUGAGUUAGAAUUACAUAGGACUGAUCGGAUGAGGGCGUGAUAAAAAGGAAACAUGACAAACAGGUGUUUAGUUUAAGUGACCGAGAUACUAUAAACUGAAAUGAGCCCAAGAAGAGGAGUAGGGUUUCUGGAUAUAAUUGUGGAUUCUACUUGAUACAGGUAGAAUUUGAAGUUACUAUAGCAAUUGAUAACAUAAAGAACUGGAGUUCAGGAGAGCUUAAAACCAUAGAUACCCAGGGCAAUUGUGAAGCAAUAGACAGUACUAUUGAAAUGCUAAACACUGGCAACAGAAAACCAGAGGCAAGGGAGAUCUGUGUUGUCUGGAGCAGACAGAUACAUCUUCUUAGAGAAGUGAAACUUGAGUUCCAUCUGAAAGUAUUAAUAGCUUAUUCAGCUUUGAGAGAUUAAAAAUGGAGAUCAUUUGCCAAAAGUUAUGGGGCAACGAAGAAAAAUGCCAUUUCAAGAGGGCAGGAUAGUAAUAUGAAUGACUUAAUAACAAAAACUAAUAUACUCCCAUUUAUUCUUCACUCCCAGGAGGAGCUAUUAUUAUUCACAAUUUAUAGAUGAAGAAAUAGGUUCAGAGAGGUUAAAUAAGCGGUAUGAGUCAUUCCAAGUAGAGCAGUGUCCUUGAAUCUAUACCAUUUGACUCCAGACUCUUGUUCUAAUCCAAUAGGUUGUAUGUCCUUUAAGGUAGGGUUUAUUUCUUAAUUAUUUUAAUAUACCUCAUGGCUAGUGCAUAGCCUGAAAAUAGACUCUAAGUACAUAUUUUUUUAAUUAAACUGAAAAUUAUAAGUUCUUUUGUGCAUCAGUUUCUUUAUCAUUUACAUGUAAGACUAAACACAAAAGUGAAACAUUGUAAGACUAGAAAGUACCUUAAAGAUCUUCAAAUAUAACUGGGUCACUUUAUAGAGGAGGAAAUUAAGGCCCAGAGAAAGAAAGAGACUUACUUACCUAAAAUCUCACAUGCAGUUAUCAGUAAAUCUGGAGCAAAACCUGUGUCUCAACUUCUCAACCAGGACUUUUUUCACAUAACCAUUUAAUCUAAGAGCACCACAUUUGCAAUGUGUGAGACUGUCUUCCCUCUUCUGAGCUCUCCAAAGUUAGAUGGAAACAAAAAACAUGGGUAGGCAUAAGAGGCAAUUUGAUAGAUAAGAACUCUUGGACUAUUUGCAAUCAGCAGUCUAAUCAUUGGAUUGAAUAGCUUGAAGAAGGGAAGGCUGAUACAAGAAUCAGACACGGGAAUUCACGAGCAAUUCAUCUGAGAAAAGAACAACAACAAGGGUUUUAUGGAAGGUAGUAUAUUUUUCAAUGGAUUCUAAUGGCAUACUGUGGAGUCACCUUUGUUUGUCUUGCUAUCUUUUAAAUGUAAAACACAAUCUCACCUACCUGGACAGAUGAGAAGAAAUACCAUCCCUGGUCCCUAGUCCCAGGUCAGUAUACAGAGCCCUGAAGGGCAUUCACAAGCUGUGCAAUUUGGAGGACUCAUACUACUUUGCUCUCCCAGGUUCCUCAUCUGUAAAUGAGAAGGUUAGAUUAGAUUUAUCUAGUUUUUGUCACUUCCUCUCUCAACUAAACACCUGACCAAAGGUAAUGAGCCUAUCCCUACCAGCGAGUGAGGUGAAGAAUUACCUUGAGGCUGUCUGCACUGUCAUGGAUGAUGACUUACCAGAAUUAACUUGAUUCUGUUCUACACCAUCAUAGAUGUUGGCUCCUAAAGGUGGGCAGAUUCUGGUCCUGCACCAACUCUGACUAGUGACCUUCUUGCUCCAUCACUACCAUGUGGGGCCAGGUGGCUUCUUUGGUCCCUUCAGCUGAAGCUGCUGGUUGGUACUUAGUGAAACACCACUGUUCAGAACAACAAAUUGAGGGUUAGGAACCUGAUAUUCUCACCAAUUUCCUGUUAGCCUGUCCUCCAAGUCUCAACUCAACUCUGUCUUCUCAUAAUUUACCUCCUCUAUACAUUAUUGUUGAGACAACAAAUUGGCUUUGCUGUUUGUCUGCUUAUACCAUUCUGCCCUCAGGUUCCAUCUUUUUUUAAUGUAUUUUUUUCUUUUCAAAAUUUUCUUUUUUAAAUUUGGCAUACCAUUAAUGAAAGAAUUUUACAUUCAGUUGAAACACUGGCAUUAAUUUUUUUGGUGUACAGGCCUAUAAAUUUAACACGUGUAGAUUGAUGUAAUCACCACCAAUAACAAAAUACAAAACAGUUCCAUGACUCCAAAGAAUUCUUUCAUGCUAUUUCUUUAUAGUUACACCUUCUCCUCAGCCCCAAUCUCUGGCAACUGUUGAUCUGUUGAGAAUGUCAUCUAAAUGGAAUCAUAUGCCUGUAACUUUCUUUUCAACAAUGGUUUCUACUACUCAACAUAAUGCCUUUGAGAUUCAUCCCUGUUACUGUAUGUAUUAAUAAUCUCUUCUUUUUUAUCACUGAGUAGUAUUCCAUUGUAUGGAUAUACCACACUUGGUUUCUUCAUUCACUGAUUAAAAGACAUUUGGGUUGUUCCCACUUUGGGGUGAUUAUAAAUAGAACUGUUAUAAAUGUUCAAUUACAGGUAUUUAAAAAGUUUCUCUAGGGUGAAUAGAAGUGGCUGACCCCUUAGUUUUGAUUCCUUCUCAUUUUUGAAUCUAGGUUUCCCUCACCCCCGGAGUAGUGAUACUGAACCUACACUCCUGCUUUCCCUCCUCUUCUGAAGAGCACUCCCUGUCUACCAGUUUUGGUUCCAUCUCUUCCAUCCCACUGGCCUCUUCUUUCUGGCUAAAAGCUCUAAGCACGUAAUAAUAGUGAAGCCCUUUUUAAUUAGUCUAAAUCUUUUUCAGCUGUAAAUUUGCUGUGAUUUGGAUUAUUGCACCGGUAUUGUAGUACCCUCUGCUGGCUGAUUCACAAAGCUGGCUUUAUGCCUGUGCUAGAAGAGAAACUAUAGGUACAAUAGAAAGAAGAAAAAUAAUUAGGGAGAGUGAGGAGGAAGAGUGGUGGCGAACUACCAUUGUAGUGACAGCCUGACUGGGACACUCCAUGUAUUUGGUGCUACACAUAUAGAUAUAUGCUGCAAUAUUUUUGUGGAACCCUACAAUAUUGUGCUUGUCUUCUCAAUUGUAGGCAAAGAUGGGCUGUCUGGAAAGCUGGACUCAGCCUGGAGCAUGUUCCCCAGAUUGCUAUUUUGUGAAGGCUUCCGCAUACAAAUGACUCAGAUCCAAACAUUCAAAAUGAUCUUGGAGGGCCAUCUGGUUCUUGCUGGUUCUAAAAGCUUCAUUCAGCCUGGAGUAUGGAUCCAGUACAAAAGAUAGUGAGAGCUGUUCAUUGAGGUUUAACAUGUUCCACUGAUCGAGGCUAGAAGCUGGCUUUUAAAAAUAGCCAACACCAAUGUUCCACGGGCCAAUUGCUGAUGCUUGUCACAGGUCAGCGGAACUCUGAUAAAUACUUAAUUAAUGAUGAUGUGGUUGUAUGGAGGUUUACACACACACACACACACACACACGCACACACACACAGAGCAACACAAUUUUGUAUCAUCAGGAAAUGUGUUAAUUUGUUUGGGUGUCUGAAACAGUCUGGGAAUUAGGCUGAACCAGCAUGUCAGGCAGUGAGGACUAUCAGAGCCAUGUAAUUGUUGUGAUGUGUCAUUUUUAAUUCGUGAAGACAAUACUGCCAACCUUACCAUUUGGAUAAUGCUGCUGAUGGAUUUGCCAUUUGCACUAGCUGGCUGGGCCUUUCUGAUUAAAUGGCUGCCUAUUCUGUGGCCAAGGGACAGGGAGUGUUUCCUAUUUGGGAGGCUCAUGAGCUUGAAUGAGAAUGGGAGACUAUAAUCUCAGUUUUGAUUUCUGGCUCCAGCCGAGUUCAGACAGAGAUUGGGCAUCUCAUGAGGGGGACCCUGGACAUCAGAGAAUAUGGAUUUAAGACAGUCACCUCAUUGGACAAAAUGCAUGAAGUGGCAUUACUUGAUUCACUUUUUGUUUCUGUGGGCUUCGCUGUCUUGUUGGGAAGUGGUAUGAGGGGAGAUGUGUGUGCUUUCUUUAGCUUAUGCAGACGAAACCAAAAUAUAUCCCAUAUAAUGACAUUGUCAUUGAUUCUUGGUGCUUCAUCACACUCUAGGAUGUAAGGUUAUCAGAUACAGGGAUUGCAUCUUGUUUAUGCAUACCCCUAACCGAGCACAGCAGCCAGCAAAGAGAAGACAUAAAAGGAGAGCUUGUUAAAUGCUAUGAGUAAAGGUGUGGCUUUUUGAGGGCACUGAUAGAUUAGAUGACGCCUAUGAAUGUUGGGGUCAUGGGAAAUUAUUUUACCUGCACCUUAGAUAAUUGAUCUUUCUUAUAUUCAUUCUCAGUGAAGAUCCUGGUGUUACACAUCAAGUUGUUCACCUCUUUCCAAGUUGAUGACAUUCCAGGACACUUUCACUACUAAGAGGAACUGAGAUCUAGAGUGUCUCCUUGAGGAAGUACAACCGUAUUAUAAAUUAAGGAGGAAAAGUAACAAAGAGCUUGAAGACACGCACAGCUCACAGGCCCUGGGUGGAGGCUGGCAGCAUCGGACAGACAGAACCAAGACAUCUGAGGGGCAACCAGGAGGUGCGUGUGGCUGCAGAGCACACAGGUAGGUACCUGCAAGAGGACAGCCGUGACGGGGGGAGGAGUGGAUGGAACAGUCACAGAAGGUGGUCAGCAGAGAUUAAAGGGGAAAGGCAGUGCAGAGGUGUUGGGAGAUGGAGGGAGAGAGGAGGGAGGCGUCACAAAGGAGUGCAAAAGAAAAAAAAUGCAAAAGGCUGACCACGGAGUGGGAGAUGGAGAGUUUGGAAAGUGAAUCAGAGACAUAAGAGGGUUUGAAGUUGGUUCCAACUCGGCCACCCCAGAAACUUCACAAGGCAUGAGAGGAUGGGAGAUUGACAUUGAAGGCUCAGUUGCACAAGAAAAUUCAGAGAUAGGGCAGAAAAACAGCCCUUCAGGGUAGGCCAUCUGAUUCAGCUGUACAUGUGAUGUGCUGGGAAUUAAGUAGUUCGGGUGUGCUAAUUUUGAGGAUAUGAAUCAGAGAGAAAUAACUGAAGUCUUGUCCCAGGAAGAAAGAGGACAGGCAGAGGAUUUUUUACUGACUUGACUUUGGACAAAACUGAGAAGAACUCAUAAACUUGGCUUCCUCACUUCUGCUCCUCAGAUGCAGGUGAUGAUUUGAAGAUAUUAGCCUAGCAAGAUGGAAGCAGAUUUAAAAUUUUACAUAAGAAGUGACCUUUUUCAGUUGUGUUGAUGUUCCUUUCAGCUGGUCCUAUAGGCCCCCUCCUCAGGAAUGUCUCCCCAGUACAAAGACAAAGACUGCAGAGACUGCUAUAUUGAUGGACCCUCAAGCCAACUAUGAAGUUGAAACAAAGAAAGCGAUCACCUGAAGACACCUCCUCUGCUAAGCAGCACCCCCAAAUUGUGCAGCUUCAGCCACUAGGACUCUCAGAACAAGAGGCAAUCUUUUCAAGAAACAGAAAAACUCAAUAAUGACAUCUAGAUUUUCAUGAGCCAAGAACCUUCCCUUCCUCAUGUGUAUUCCUCUGUUUGUACUUAAAUUCAUGUGACAUUCAUUUUUUUUCCUAAUACGGAUAUGCUUAUUAAUGUACUUGUUUUAAAAUCCCAAAUUGCACAAAUGUGUUAAUAUUUUAAGAAACAAAAUUAAUCCUACAAGGAGAAUGAUUUUUAGUCACCCAGAGGGUUGGAUCUUAAGAGUGGCCUACAGAAUAAAAAGAACUUUUAAAAUAAAGUAGUCAGAGGCUAUUCAAAGGGUAAAAAUAAUCAUACUAUCACAUUGCUCCACUCGACACUAACCAAUCAACUAUUUUUUUUUUAUCAAGAAAGGUAGAUUCUAUGAGAUAAAAUCACUGCUUCUAAAGAGCUUAAAUCUAAUUAUAAAAAGUUAUAGAAACUUUUGAAAAGAUAAGUAAUAGAUAGGCUUGGUAGAGGAUAAAAUCAAAAACAAAACCAAGCAAAAGAUGAGUUCAGGGGAGUUCGCCAUAAAGUUGGCAAAACUGGCUUUUUUAGGGAAGAAAGUUCUAAAAGAGGAAAAUAUGAGAUGAGCCUUGAAUGAUAUCGAAGAUUUAGAUAAAUGGAAAAGAAGGAGAAAAUGGAGCUCUUCAGGUGAAUGUAAUUGGAGGAGAAAAUGAACACACACAUCUUGUCGACUUAACCCCAAACAUUCAGCAGCUCUCUAUAUCAAAUAAAGGGCUUGCACACUCACCUCCUGUCUCUCACCCCAGGUAUUACCUAGAAUUAUUAUCAUAUUUCCCUUCAAUUAAAGUGGGUGAUUGGUGACAGUAUGGAGAACUAUGAUUUUUCCAUUAACCUAAUAAUAAUUGGUAUUUAUUGAGUUCUGUUAGGCAUUUCACAUAUUAACUCACUGAAGCCUUAUGACAACUGUGCAAAAUAGGUAUUAUUCCCAUUUUACAGGCAAGAAAACUGAGGUUUAAGUAACUUGCCAAAGUGCCAUAUACAGGGCUUACAUUCAGGAUUGCAACUGCAAAGCUCAUGAUCUAAAGUGCUAGGUUGCAAUAUUGUAAUCAGUGUCACAAUUAUUAUUCCUUCUUGUAUUCCUUGAUAUUUUUUCAUGGUAAACAAAUAGCUAUUUCAUUUAACAGUCACCUCAAACUUUUCAGCCUUCUGGUUAAAAUUGAUCUAGAGUGAUAGAAUGUAUUUUCAUGAUAGAAAUGGGAAAAAAAAUGGGGGAAUAAAGUUCAUCAGCAUUUCAGACUUUUUUUUUUGCAAGACUUUGAUGAGAUUGUUCACUUUUAUCUACAUGAAAUCCCAAAUCCUUGAGAAUAAAAAAGGGAGAGGUUUAAGUCACCUGUUGCAAUGCCCUUUUAAAUAGAAGAGAUAAAUCUAUAGCCCAUAAAUUAGGAGUGACUUACAGAAGAUUGCACUUUGGGGUGUGGGGUAAGGACCAGGAACCAGGCCCUCCAUUUCACUGUCAGUAGCUCUUGCACUAGUAUGCCCUUCCUGAAUUCAAUGUGCAGUGUGCACCUGAAUUUUAUCAUUGGAAACAGCCUAUCUAGGUAGCAACCAGAUAGUGCCUAGUAGAUUGUUUCUGUUCUAUACUUCUUUGGUUUCCUACCUCAAUGUUAAAAAUAGUUAGCAGUGAAUUCCAGAAGUUGCUAAUGGUUCAUCCCCCAAAGAAUGCAUAAUGUCCAAAGUCUUAUGUGUAUAAUGUCUUCAAUGGUAUUUUUAAGUUAUUUCGAAUUCUUAGUUCACAUACAUAAAUCAUACCUAACGAGCAUCUUCUUAACCAACUUUAUGCACAGUAUAUGUUUGUAAGUGCUUCUGCACGAAUAUUUAUACAUGACUGUUUCCAUAGUACUUAUAUUUUUAAAAAUAUUCAGUCAUUUCCUAUUCUAAUUUUCAUGUAUCCAUGUAACUGACUCAAAAAUACUUCAGCCAUAAAAAGCUAGAACUGAGCAAAUCUCAUUCUUCUUUUCCAUCCCUUUUGCAUGUGGCUGGCAUUUAGUAAUGAUUAAUAAUGUGGUCAGCUGAAUAACAGAGGUUCAAGACACAAUUCUGUCUCAAAGGAGUCAGGUAAGCUGGGUCCACUUACGGAUAAACAUCUAAAUGUGUGGAAGUAUCUGAUAUUUGACUAUGGUAAAUUUCCACUUAGCUAGCUCGCAUUGUCAGGCUUAGAUCUCCUCAUGGCUCUGGCCGUCCUGUUUUCAACAUGAUAACUGUUGGCCACAUCUCACACAGUUCUCAUUAAGUGAGUUCAUAAAUAAACAGAGUUUUGUUUUUUUUUUUAAAGAGCAGCCAAGCACAAAGUGUGACUUUGUUGACAUUUUAUGUGACUUUGUCAUGUGUUUCUAACCCCCAAUAAAAGCAAUGUUGCAUCAACUGUGAACUUGUGUUGAUUUAUUGAAAAAGCAUGCUCUUAUAAGUUGUUUGUUUUCACUGGUGUAUAUCAAAGGUAGUUUCAGGAUCCACAAGGAGCAAGUCAUCUAAUGUGAAAGGAAAAUUUAAAUGUAGAGACAACUUCUAAAGGAUCCCACAUUACCUUUAAAUAAAAGGUACUGUCAUCUACCAAGUCAGAAACCAAGGUCUGAUCCUUGUCUCUUCCAGUUCCACCAGCAAUGGUCAAUUACUCACGUAAUCUUCUGAUUUUUUUUCUUCUUUCUGUUAUUUAAAUAUGUCUACAUCUCUCUCCAUCUAUGCUACUGCAGUAAAGAACAACCCUAAUUUCUUUCCUGGACUUCCUUACCAUGCCUUCAGUUUUCUUCACACUGCCAAGGGGCAGCCAGGGAAUUCUCUCUAAACCACAAAUGUGAUUGUAUUAUUUCAUGGCUUCAAACUCUUCACUGGCUUCCCAUUGCCCCUGAGAUACCAUGAUACCUAGUGUUCUUCAUGUCCUCAUCCUGGCUCCAACAGUCCUCUCUGGACUCAUCAACUCUUCAGCCCCUCUGUGGUUCUAGGCUCCCGCCAUACACCUGCCUUUUCUUAAUGUUCCCUGUAUCUUCUGGGCUUUCUCACACAUUUCAGCUUCUGUCUAGUACUUUCUCCACUACACCUUCCAGACUCCAUCACUCAUCCUUCACAUUCCAUCCUAGAAGUUAUUUUCUCUGGAAAGUUUUCACCCCAGCCUCUACCACCACUAAGACUAGCUUCCCUACCUAGGGGCUUUCAUGUCAUUCUGUGCUUACCUCUUGUUAGUACUUAUCACCCAGGGUUGUGCUCAUAUUCAAAUAUGAGAUUCUAGAGCUGCACCAUUCAACAAGGUAGCCACUCACCAUAUGUGACGAUUUCAAUUUAAAUUAAUUAAGUAAAAUUUAAAAUUUAGUUCCUCAGUUGCAUUGCUCACAUCUCAAGUUCUCAGUAGCCACAAGCUACUGGUGGCCACUCUUGAACAGAACAGAUACAGAACAUGUCCAUCACUGAGAAAGUUCCACUGGACAGUGCUGCUCUAGAACAUAAAUGCUAUGUUUUGCUUGCUGUUGUAUCCCCUGGACUUGCAGCCCUUUCUUAACUGGAGUUUGUCAUGUGAACCACAGAGAACAAAAAUAUGAUUUGAAUGAUAUUUUCUCAAUUCUGCCAAGAAUGAUGUAUAAAAAAUACAAUGUUAUAUGCAAAGGAAGGAGCAUUAGGGUUCAAUUCCAGCAGAAAAUCCUGAUCAGGAAAGUCUACAAUAGCCUAGCACAAAGUUUGGCAUCAAAAGUACUUCAUAAAUGUCUGCUGAAUAAAUAUUAUGACUGGACACUUGAGACAGUUUAUUUAUUUUUACCUAAAUGUGUAGAAUCAUGUAGGAAAUAUGUCUUUAGAUUCCGAAGGGCCCCUUCUCUAGAGAAUGUGGUAGGUGAUUUUUUAAAAAUUUCAUCCCAAGGAUAGGUGAAUUGUAUUGCAGCAAAAGAUUAUCUAUUAUUUCACUUUCCUUUGAUGUUUACACAGACCAAAAAAAAAAAAAAAGAAAGAAAGAAAACUGAGCUCUUAUUAAGUGAAUGAAUGAACAUAAAAGUGAUUCAAGUAGGUAGCUGAUUUGAUACACCCUAUAUCUUUUAGGAAUUGGCCAAAGUUUACUAAAAAUAUUAACUAUUUACUGAGCACCUGCUAUGUGCUGGGCAUUUUGUUCAAUUUUGAGGAUACAGGAAGGGACAAGAUGGACACAAUUCUCGCACUCACAGUAUAUAUUAACAUUAAUAUAAUUAUUUCAGUUCCUCGCUAUAUCCAAAAGCAGAAGUUUUAAACCUCGGCUGUACAUUGUAACCACCUGGGGAGUUUUGAAAAUACCUGAGUCUCUCAAAAGAUUCUGAUUUAAUUUGUGUGAGUGUGGCCUGGGAAUUGGAAUUUUCUAAAGCUCUCCUGGAGACUGGAAUGUGCAGCUAAAGCUGAGAACUAUUGAUUAUGGGAACAUAAUCUUAGACUGAGCUCAGAAAAUCCAGAGUUUUCAGUAUUAAAAGUUCAUAGCAUAUUAGAACUAAAACCAUCUGUCUAACACAUUUUUAUUUAUUCCUCAGAAUAUAAACUGAUACUUAACAGUCACUGAGUUGUCCAGGUCAAAUAGCCAGGUCAUGACUGAGAUAAGACCUGACCCCAGGUUUCUGAUUUUAACAAAACACUCUUCCUUGUUACACUAAACUAUCUCAGGGAAGUGGAAAAUAUAAUUACCUUCAAGUGAUGAGACAACCAAUAGCCACUGUGGUCAUAAUUUUUAACAGCAAAAUUGAAUUUGGACCAAGUUGAAUCCCAUAUACUCAAAUAAUUCUGCUAAUCAAAUGUGAAAAUGCAACUCAUUAAAAACUAUAUAUAUAUAUAUAUAUGUAUAUAUCCAUAAACAGGAUACAGAGGAGGCCCACUUCCCCAGGAAUCAUAAGCAUAUCAAAUUCACAAAUCAAUAUAUAUAUAUAUAUUAAACUCCACUAGAAGGAUAUUUUGCCUUUCAACUUGAAUUAGUAGCAGAAAUGGUAGUGGGAAGACAAAAUUUUAAAAAGUGCAUUGUGCUCCCACAUUUUCUGUCCCCACCCAACUUAUACGACAUUCUAUUCCAUUUCAUAUUUCACAGUACAGAUAAAUUGACAGUCUGUCCCCAUGAAAAAAGUUGACAUUAAAAAAUAACCACUAUAAAAAAUAGUUACUUCUCGCAGUUACCACCAUGCACCACUUUUAGAUUCUACUCAUAGAUCAAGAGAAUCCCGGAACUCUGUCAUCAAAUCUACUCUACUCUAUCCAUAUAAAAUCACAUAGUGAAAAUGUGCCAUUCCAUAUUUUAAAGGCAUCAGAAGAAAACUAACGUCCACAUACUUCCUUCAAAAUGCAUUUCAGUGUUUGAGAUUCUACACAGUUGGGAAAUUCUUAUUUCUAUUCCAAAUCCCUCACGCUGUAGUUUAAUCCCAUUUUCUCUUGUUCCCUGUGGAGAGAGAGAACAGCCAGCCUCCAUUCUUUUAAACUCAAUCCCUUCAUGUCCUUAAAGACAACUACUUCCCAGCCUUCUCUUCUCUGGAAUAAAUAAGAACAGUUCCCAUCAGGAAAAGUUUCUCCUGGAUUGUGCAUAUUCACGGCCAUAUCACAUGUAUUCAUGCUCAUCACAUAAUGCUCAUAACUAAAACAAGCCAAGGCCAAGAGCAAAAACAAGCAAAUGUAUCAUUGUUUUCAUGAAUGAAGUUACAGAACCAAUAAUAGACACUGAAUAAAUUGCUGAAAAUGAUGAUCUUCCAAUGAUUAUGUACCAAAAUUAUCAUAAUUUCUUUUAAACGUGUUGGCAAUGUGUUGUUUUUGGAGAGGUGAAUUAAAAAUUAAAUGAUUAGGUUUCAAUUUCCUUUAUGCAAGUUCUCCCCAUGCACUGCAAUGGAAUAUUCCAUUCAGCAUUCCACAGCGGGAGCCACCAUUGCUUUGACAAAAAUAGAUACAGUAUUGGAACAUUCAGUCAAUGGAGUAAUCCAAUUGUCUGAACAUUCUUUUCUGCUUUGUCAUUUACAUUUUAAUAAAUCCCAGAAUAUGUCAAGCUGUAUCCAGUCGUACCAAGUGUAGCUAACCACAUGCAGUUACCAGAUGCAAUGAGGGAAUCAUAACAUGCAACUCCUACAAUGAAUCAACAUUUGGUUUAUGUGUAUUUUUAGGCUCCUACAUUUGAAAUAGGAAUACUCUUAAAAAUGAAAAAUAGAUAUUUUGAAAAAUAUGUUAGUAUAUUCAGCUUUCACAAAGGAAGCUGUGGGCCAAGUGUGCUCUAUUUAAUUGAUCCAGGAAUUCUGGCAUCUGCUGACCUCAAGGACAACACUAUAUAUAGAUAACAACAAUGUGGAAUGUUACAUUAUUAUCUUAUGUCUAUUUCUCUGCCAGUUUACUGUCUCUCCAUUUAGAAGAGUCAGAUAAUCAUAUUUUAAAGACAUGUGACAUUUGACAUUCCAUGAUGUCAAGACUUCAGGUAAACCAGUCCUAAAAUAUGUGUGUGUGUGUAUGUAUGUGUGUGUAGUUAUUAUGCAUAUAUGCAUAACUUAGUCCAUGCAUAUAACAGCCACCAAGUUUUUCAAGACUUUGAGAAAUUUCUUAUCCUGGCUUAUAAGAGCCCAGUGAAUUUUUGCAAUGGGUUUAGAGCUGUAAUGAUGAUGGAAUGAGCCUCAGCAUGUUGGGGAUCCCUAAGCAGCAGGUACAUGCUUAGAGAGGAGGGUUGUCCAAAGAUGACACUAUUAAGACUACUCUCUUUUAGUAAAAAUCACAUGAGACAUUGGCUCUGGUUAUAUCCUUUGUAUGUAAUUAUCUAAGUCACUUAAGUUAACCCAUCAGAUAAGUCCCAUUUUAGGUUUCUCCUCUCAACCUUCUAAUUAUUACCCUUUAAGAUAAUGACUGCCAAAAAUCCCAGGUUAUUUCCUGACAUCAGGUAAAUCUGAUUAGCGUUAAACUUGUGAUAUACUCAAGGACUAAAAGGAACCAUGAAAAAAAAUUUUAUUUUUUUGCUGGUGCUUAGAGCACUUUAAAUGCUUGCAGCAGGGAUUGUGAGUAGUGCACCACGAUUAUUACAAUAUCCAGAGUUAGGUAUUAUGUUGAGGAGACUAUAUCAUAGUUUACCAGUAGUGGGAGGCAGAAAAUUAAAAGUCCAGUAGCAUUGUAAUGCACAAGUGAUGUUGGCAGAAUUUCUUGAUUCCCAGAGUUUUCUCUUACUCUGCUCAUGGUGUGAUAGCUUGUAGGUUCAGCGGAAAAGUAGGAACAAGCCAAUGGCAGAAUAAUUGCAGCACCUUGAAGGCCUCUAGGAAAGGACUUCUGCAACUUCCCCAUGCACUUAGAGUACCAUCAACACUUGCUCUCAUAAACUACUAUAGUAACUGGGGAAUAUGGCUCAUUCAACGAACUUGAAUUAAUAAACUAAGCAAUCAACAUUAGGGAGAAUUUGGGGAGGAACGUUAGCCAGUGCAUGUCAAGAGACACGUUCAAAGUUCAUUUUCAUGAAUCAAAGGUCCUAUGUUCUAGAUCCAUUGAUAAUUAUUUCCUUUACAAUUUCUGUAGUAGAGUUAGCUCUUUGGUAAGAAGAGAAACAUAGUAGUUAGCUUGUUCUUACUUUACAAAGAUUUUGAAAGUAAAUAUGGUAUAGUGUUUGAGAAGGUCUUUAGAUUACAUACCCCUGGCUUUUAAAUACCCAGGUUAACAGAGAUGAGCAGCGUGCAGAUGUUAUAGAAAAUGAGUAUGGUUUUCAGAAUAUGCUUUAGAUCCUUUCUUCCGUCAAAUUCCCUUUUUAAUUCCAGGUUCAUAGACUUUCACUGAUGCAGAAGUCACAAAGGCCAUCUAGUACAAUUCCCAUCUUUUGCUUGAAUUUUCUAUGUUAGCUUAUCAUGGACCACAUUCCUGAUCAGCAGUUCCAUCUUUGGACAACUCAGAUCAUUUGAAUACUUUUUCUUUUUAUUGAAUCACAAGGGCCUCUUUCAUUGUUCCUUUUUUACCCUUAGGAGAUAUAGUGUAAGUCUAAUCUCUCUUCUAUAUGUCAGUCAUACAGAUAUUUAAAAGAAGAAAUCAUGUUCCUUCCAGAGUCAUUUUUCUCUGGGCUGCACACACUUAGUACUUUCAGGCAUUCCUCCCAUGCCAUUAUUUCACAUACUUUUGUCAUUCUUGUGAGUCUCCACACUCCAAUUGGUUUGUUUGCCUUGUUAAAUGUACUGCCCUGAAUUGAAUGUGUUUUUCUAGAUGUGGACUGACAAAGGGGAAGAAAUGUGUGAUGAUCACCUUUAAAACUUUUUCCCUAAGUACUGGAUUUCUGGAAAUAAAACUCAUAUUAAUCUUUUUAGCAACCAUCUAGCAGCAUUGAUUUAUCUUAUCUUACUAUCUAUUAAAACACUUAAGUCUUUUCUAUACAUGCUACUGUCAAACACUAUUUCCCUCAUCCUAAAAUUCAGCUCAUCAUUCCAUCUCCCAAUAUCUUUUUAUCCUAAGUAAGAUAUCUGAUAAAUUAGAUUUUUUUUCAGAAUCAUUUUAUUCAAAUGUUUGACUCAUACUUACCCAAAAGAGGUCAAAAGAAGCUUAGUGAAGUCACAUACUGAAGUUAGGAUUCUAAAUGUCAUUCCCCAAAACUAACAGUCUAAUAACUUCCAAAGAAAGAAGUGAAGUUAGUCUGGCAUGGUUGGUUUUGUUUGUUUGUUUUAGCAUAUUUACAUGCUUUGUUUUGUUUUAAUAACUACUGAUGCUAGGAAGAAGCUAUCUAGAUAAAUGAUGGAUAUCCAGGGAAAUUUGUUCCCGGAUCAACGUUUUGCUUUAGAUAACCUUCCUUCCACCUCCCAAAAACUCACAAGCUGCAACAUUUCUGAUGUCCACUUCCACACAAGCCAACUUCAGGCCUUUUUCAAGUUCUGGAGGUCAGAAUUCUGACAUGGAUCUCACCGGGCUAAAAUCAAGCUGUUGGCAUGGAAACUCUAUUUCCUUCUGGAAACUCUAGUGAGAAAUUCAUUUUCUUGCCCUUUUCAGCUUCUAGAGGCCACACCUCGUUCAGAAUUAAUAGACCAGGUCAUAGUUUCCUUGGCCUAAGUAAUGGAUGAAGGAGUUCGCUACUCAGGAAUCUUUUUUCUAAUGCUACAUGGAAUCAACCUCAGUUUUUACAUAGUUUCUAAGAAUUACUGUUAAGAGCUAAGUUAAUUUUCCAUUGUAAUUGAUAAUGUAUUACAUCACAUACAAUAGAAGAUCUCUGAGUGAUAGUCUACAGAAUUUCUCAUCAGAUGCACUUGUUAGUUAAUUUUUCUAAGGCAUUUCACAAUUGAAGAAAGAAGAUAAUUCAUUUUUAGCGGCAUUGGAGUCUCUUCAUGCAGACUGGAAGUAUACUUUGAAUAUAGUCAUGGAUUUUAUUGCAGCUGGCACUUGAAGCUUGUAUGAGAAGCAAGUGCAGAUCAAUUUUUGUGAUUCUCAUCUAAAAAUACAUAAAGACCAAGUUGUACUCUGGAGAUUAACUAGAUUUAUCAAUAGCAAACAUCUUCCUUCACCUGAGAUUAGUUAGAAUUCAGACUUGGUCAUGCUACUUUCAUAUCUGGCCUCCAUGACACUUUUAAUAGAUAGCAUCUUACCAAAAAAUAUAGAUGUGUCCUUGGAAUUUAACAUUUUUGAUGAGAAGUUGCAGUCAGACAUUUUAAAUAUAACAACUAUAAGUCUAUUUAACAAAUAUAGAUACACUAUGUAUUGCAUAUUCUUUUCUUUCUCCUGAAAUAAACCUUUGCUAUCUGAGGAUGUGUGUAUGUAAUUAACAAUGACUGCACACAUACAGACACACACACACAGACACACACACACAAAUAUAAAUUUAAGGAUUUUUAAAUUCUGCUAAAUAUUUUUUUACUCAUGAAGCUUCAAAUGUUCAGACUAUGUCAUGUUGAAAUGAAGGAAAUGCACCUUAUCAAAAAGUAAAAAGCUUUAGUAAUCAGUUUCAUUCAUGAGAUUUUAUUUGGCUGGCUUUUAGAAAAUGUGACCAAUUGUGUUGACAUGAUGUAGACAUUUUGAAGAAAUGUAUUUGCUUGUAAUUGUUAAAUGAUUAACUUUGUAUGUAAUAUAUGUUAAUUUUAUAUUAAAAAAAAUUCUGGAUUCUUAAGCGUUGUCAUUUAUCCAGCUCCAGCAUAAGAACUUUAUUUGAAAUCAGCUAAAGCAUAAUAAUACCACCACAAUUCUUUAGUCUUGAAAGGACAGCUAACAACAGAAUUCAGUUUAGUGCAAGGAGGAAAGUUUCUCAGAGAUCCAUGGAGUUCCAUAGAGACUCUCAGUUGGUAAGGUCUACUUAGGAAUUUAAAGAUGAAAAUAACAGAAGGGAUAUUUUCUUCAGAAUAACAGAGAAAAAUAAAACUAGCUUCUAUGA